CGGGGCUGUACAGGCCGCAAAAGAAGCCCGCACUCCCUACUCCAGCACCAUCUCUUUAUUACUCGAAAACGAAACUGUAAACAUAACUCGGUGUCCAGCGAGAGUCAGAUGGGCGUGUGUCAAAUACCUGGAACCAGGUUUGCGUCGUGGAGGAGGGGUCUCGUCAAUCUGCAGCUCAUCCUCGGACUCCAGGUCAGACAGACUAGAUCCCUCCAUGGCAAGAUGUUUGUAGUUUCCAGCACGUCCUGCACCAUUACUGUUGCCAUCUUUCUUACUGAAGACAGAAGACCAGCAGGACAUGGUACCAUACUGAGGUGCCUCCAAAGUCAAUGUGAAAGUCUGUGUAGCUGUCCUUCACUCCCAUUAGGCAGUACUUCUGCACGUUGGGGCGUUCAAACACAGAUUCUUCAGGCCAGAGGUUUUCCACCCACG